AAUCAACGCUGGCGGCGUGCCUCAUACAUGCAAGUCGAACGAUUAAACUUCCCUUCGGGGAAGAUAUAAAUUGGCGCACGGGUGAGUAACACGUAGGUAAUGUACCUUUGGGUGGGGAAUAACUUAGGGAAACUUAAGCUAAUACCGCAUAAUGCAUCUGCACCUUCGGGAGACAGUUGUUAAAGAUUUAUCGCCUAAGGAGCAUCCUGCGACAGAUUAGCUAGUUGGUAAGUUAACGGCUUACCAAGUCUACGAUCUGUAUCCGACCUGAGAGGGUGGUCGGACACACUGACACUGAACAGCGGGUCAGACUCCUACGGGAGGCAGCAGUCGGGAAUUGUGGGCAAUGGGCGAAAGCCUGAACCAGCAACGCCGCGUGAAGGAUGAAGUCUUUCGGGAUGUAAACUUCGUAAGAAUAGGAAGAAUAAAUGACGGUACUAUUUGUAAGGUCCGGCUAACUACGUG
rnacentral:rRNA from 1 species